CCCCCCCCCCCCCCCACGGAAGCGUCCCGAGCCCCGGCGGUGCUGCAGAGGCAAGUCGCCGGGGAGGUGCAGACGCAGCCGCGGGACCGCGCCGUCAACCAGCUGGCCAUGAUGCUGGCCAUCAUGGGCCUGAGUUUGUCCUACUACAGCGCCAAGCAGAUGACGGAGGACGUCCGCGCGCAGCCCGCGCCCUGAGGACACUCGCCCAGCCCGCUCGCGGAGAAGACGGGCGAGCCGAUGGGGGUAGAAGGAGGCGGGAGAAGGGGGGGUGUGGACUGGUUUGGGUGGGCGAUCAUAACCAGCCGACUGGCACCUGGGUCUGACCACUAGUCUCUUACAAAGGUACAUGCCUGCAAGAUGCCGUCAAUACUGUCCUGAGCGACGAAAAAGGGGACGCUCAUUUUGCCAGUUCUUCAAAGAGCGUCAAAUAAAAGCACAGUAAUGCCUUUGUUUUAAGCGAUGGGCUGACUGCAGUUGAGAUGUACCUUGUAAUGAAGUGAUGGCCGGCUCACAACAAGGCGGAAGGGGGCUAAUAAGUUAGCACAACACACUUUCUUUUUUUUGUUCUUCAUUAGAGAACCGUACAGAUCCAGAGCUUAAUUCAAAAACCGUCAAUGUGUAGAAAUGCUUGUAAAAUGUUUCUGUGUGGUGUCAGGUUCAUUUGAGUAGAUGUGCAAUAGUGCAGAAACAUUUUCUUUGAGUGCUACAUUGGCUCCUCAAAGGGACUUUAAGCAACUCCUCUUUUUAUGUUUGAUUGUUUUUUUUGAUCUCACACUACCGUAAAUCAAAGUCCCGUUGAGAUGAAUGACUACCUGUUUUCUUAAAGCACACUGAUUGAGAAACCUUCCUGCGAUCUCAUUCUACAUGCAGACCUUUUAACUUUAACUGAACAUUGCAUGUUUGUGCAGACUUUUAAUCGAGCGACAAUCUUGUUUUUAAAUGAUGGAUGAAUGUAUUACUCUGUGAAAGAUUUAAUAAAGCUGUGAACAUCUUGAAUGCGAUG
ensembl:lncRNA